UGUUCGAGGAGCUGGUGCUCAAGGCGCUGGUACAAUCCUUUCUCUCUUUCUCUGUAAGUUAUAUAUGGAUUUUGGGUUACAGUCUGGUCAUACAAAACGCAGACACAGCUUCAAAUUCAUACAAAACGCAGUUCAUUUACUAAAAAAACAACAUAAAUAAUCUACUUACUAAUCCAAAAUGAAGGCACCAAUAACGAUAGAACUGCAUAAUUUAAUUACCUCAGCUAGUAAAAAGGAAAUGCUGCAAAAUUCCGUUGAUCAAAACAAACCCAAAAUUCCUUUCCUGCACUACUUAAGCAUCACAGCUUCAGAUUCACCUUCUUCCAAUCAAGUCCCAAGAACACUACACACCAAAAUUGCAUGAACAGAGAAACCCAAGCUCAACCCAGUAAAUUUCCUUUAGAAUUAAAACCAAUAAAACACUCGGUCAAAUAUCACCCCUCAGAAAAAACACAUAAGGAUCAAAAUUAGACAAAAACCCAGAUCUUAUUAUUGAUACAAAAUUAGAUAUAUCCAUAUUUGCUCAAAAUUAGGUGAAAUUAGGCACUACUUAUA
rnacentral:lncRNA from 1 species